rnacentral:rRNA from 1 species
GACGAACGCUGGCGGCGUGCUUAACACAUGCAAGUCGAACGGAAAGGCCUGCUUUCCCUUGUGGAUUGCGGGUACUCGAGUGGCGAACGGGUGAGUAACACGUGAGUGAUCUGCCCCCAACUUGGGUAUAAGCCUGGGAAACUGGGUCUAAUUCCCGAUAGGACUGCAGGGUGGUGCCUGUGGUGGAAAACGAUUUUCUAGUGGUUGGGGAUGAGCUCGCGGCCUAUCAGCUUGUUGGUGGGGUAAUGGCCUACCAAGGCGGCGACGGGUAGCCGGCCUGAGAGGGUGGACGGCCACAUUGGGACUGAGAUACGGCCCAGACUCCUACGGGAGGCAGCAGUGGGGAAUAUUGCACAAUGGGCGGAAGCCUGAUGCAGCGACGCCACGUGGGGGAUGACGGCCUUCGGGUUGUAAACUCCUUUCGACCGCGAGGAAGCCACCUGGUUGGAAGGGUGGUGACGGUAGUGGUAGAAGAAGCACCGGCUAACUACGUG